rnacentral:tRNA from 1 species
GGGGUUGUGGCUCAGUGGUAGAGUGCUUGCCUAGCUUGCAUGAGGCACUGGGUUCAAUCCUCAGCACCACA